rnacentral:lncRNA from 1 species
GCUCAAAUUCAUGGUACCGACAAUUGAUUUUAUGAAAGGUAUAAAUUCUCUAUACUUUGUGAUGUGUGGCUGAAACCCCAAUCUCUUGGGGUGUGAUUAUGGGGUUGGAUAGUAAUUUAACUUAGUGAAUGUGUUGAAUUGCUCUAUUUUAUAUCUUUUUAUCAUAGAUUUGAUCUGUUACCAUGUGCAUAAAGCAUGAAUUAAGGUGGCC